rnacentral:rRNA from 1 species
GAUGAACGCUGGCGGCGUGCCUAAUACAUGCAAGUCGAGCGAACAGAUGAGGAGCUUGCUCCUCUGACGUUAGCGGCGGACGGGUGAGUAACACGUGGAUAACCUACCUAUAAGACUGGGAUAACUUCGGGAAACCGGAGCUAAUACCGGAUAAUAUAUUGAACCGCAUGGUUCAAUAGUGAAAGACGGUUUUGCUGUCACUUAUAGAUGGAUCCGCGCCGCAUUAGCUAGUUGGUAAGGUAACGGCUUACCAAGGCGACGAUGCGUAGCCGACCUGAGAGGGUGAUCGGCCACACUGGAACUGAGACACGGUGCAGACUCCUACGGGAGGCAGCAGUAGGGAAUCUUCCGCAAUGGGCGAAAGCCUGACGGAGCAACGCCGCGUGAGUGAUGAAGGUCUUCGGAUCGUAAAACUCUGUUAUUAGGGAAGAACAAAUGUGUAAGUAACUAUGCACGUCUUGACGGUACCUAAUCAGAAAGCCACGGCUAACUACGUG